GAGUUUGAUCAUGGCUCAGAUUGAACGCUGGCGGCAGGCCUAACACAUGCAAGUCGAGCGGAUGAGAGGAGCUUGCUCCUUGAUUCAGCGGCGGACGGGUGAGGAAUACAUCGGAAUCUACCUUGUCGUGGGGGAUAACGUAGGGAAACUUACGCUAAUACCGCAUACGACCUACGGGUGAAAGCGGCGGACUCGCAAGAGCGUCGCGCGAUUGGAUGAGCCGAUGUCCGAUUAGCUAGUUGGCGGGGUAAGAGCCCACCAAGGCGACGAUCGGUAGCUGGUCUGAGAGGAUGAUCAGCCACACUGGAACUGAGACACGGUCCAGACUCCUACGGGAGGCAGCAGUGGGGAAUAUUGGACAAUGGGCGCAAGCCUGAUCCAGCCAUGCCGCGUGUGUGAAGAAGGCCUCGGUGUAAGU
rnacentral:rRNA from 1 species